UCAGUCACUAGCAUCUGCAAUUUAAGAUGGUUGGAAUUUUCUGACUGCAAGGAAUUGAAAGUAUUACCCAGCAACUUUGGAGCGCUGACACGUUUAAGGUCCCUUGAUCUGACGUUUACAGGAAUCAGAGAAUUGCCUGACUCUGUCAGUAGCGGCUGCUGCAGUUUAGAGUGGGUGAGGCUUGGAAGUGAAUGUAAGUUUCCCAAAGACAUCAGGAAUUGGGUGAAAUUGAGAAGUCUCACUAGCAACGGAAAGAGAUUUGAUGAUGCAGUAAUGCCUAGAGGUAUAGAAACACUAAGAUGCCUAAAAGAAUUAGAUCCUUACGUGGUUAUGAGGAAAGAAGGGGAGGUCUCCAUUGGAACCAAUAGUUCAAGCGGGGUCGAGGAAUUAGCAGAUCUAAACUCCCUUAGGGUGUUGGGAAUCGCAAGUCUAGAGUAUGUGAGUGGUAAUGUAGACUCCGUAUUAAAAUAUAAGAAAACGAUUAUAAGUUUGAGAUGGAAACCUGAACAAGGAGAAGACACAACGGCAGCUAAUAAUUCUUUCAUGGUGUUAGAAGGUCUCCCACCUCACCCUAAUUUGAAGCAUUUAGAAAUUAGGUACUUCCCAGGUUUAGAGUUUCCAAAAUGGGUUGGUUCAUCUUCCUGCCUUUCGAAUUUAGAGGCACUACAGUUGUCUGGUUGCAACAGAUGUGAGAACCUUCCGGCGCUGGGAUUGCUCCCAUGUCUCAAAUGUCUUGAUCUUAAAAAUCUGCCAUUGAAGCAUUUGGGUGAAGAAUUGUUUAACCAAGACAGCUGUAGUUCUACAACAACAUUAUUCCCUUCCUUAACUUUGUUGAGAGCUAUUGGAAUGGAUACGUUAGAAGAAUGGAUUGCUCCCCCAGCAACUUAUAAUUCCUUUCCUGUCCUUGAGGAAAUACUGUUUGUAGGUUGCCCUGAAUUGACAUCAGUUCCGGAUUUUCAAUUAUGGACGUCACUUCGUGAAUUAAGGUUCUACUCGUGCAAAAAAUUGAAGGACUCCAUGCCUAAUGAUCUUCAGAAAUCCCUCACUUCACUUGAAUCUCUUGAAGUUUUUUUAAUUCAAGGAGGCGAUUUUCAUAUGAAAAGAUAGAUCAGCAACUGCUUGCUCCAACUAAUGCCUUCCAUUCAACACCUGAUUCUGCUAUUACCCAACAGGUGGAAUUUCAAGUGUUUCCUUAAAAAAAACUUUGAUGGUAAGGAACCCAGCAAAGUGUCAAUCUAGAUGAGGUUGCUGGCCUGUUGCCUACAGUGCUGCUGUACAAGGAGAUAUCUUGAGCGGAGAGGGUGGUGAUGAAACCAAAGUUAAAAUGCUUGGUCUUCAGGGAGCUUUGAGAUUCUUCCUAUACGAAACAUGUACUCCGUGCUUCAGGUUUUCAAAGGCAUUUAGAAGAAGACCCACAAAAGGCUUCAGG